CGGGACGGGUGAGUAAUGUCUGGGAAACUGCCUGAUGGAGGGGGGUAACUACUGGAAACGGUAGCUAAUACCGCAUAACGUCGCAAGACCAAGAGGGGGACCGUUCCGGGCCUCUUGCCAUCGGAUGUGCCCAGAUGGGAUUAGCUAGUAGGUGGGGUAACGGCUCACCUAGGCGACGAUCCCUAGCUGGUCUGAGAGGAUGACCAGCCACACUGGAACUGAGACACGGUCCAG
rnacentral:rRNA from 1 species